rnacentral:lncRNA from 1 species
GGCCAGAGAAAUGGUUGGACUACACGCAGCGUGUCCACAAACAAGACACGCAAGCACCCGAGGCCGCAAUGCACCACCCAGGGAGGGCCUUGGGCCAAGCUGCCCUACUUGGACACUUCCACUGGCAACAGGGCUUGGCAUCCAUAGCAAGGGCUCAAUAAGUGCUGGUGGAUUGGAUAAAUAGGCUGGCUUUGGGCUGGUUCUUGAGCCAGAGCUGGGGAGAGGCAGACAAGCUGGAUGUCCUCAAGGACUUUGCAGAGUGAUGGUGGAGACAGACACAAAGUCAAUCAACGGAUGAGGCAUCAUCACUGUCAUCAUAACAGCCAGCAGGUGUGGAGCAGUUUUUCUGUGUAUCAUCUUAUUUAAUCUUAAAAUUCCUAUGGACAGGGCUUCCCUGGUGGUCCAGGGGUUGAGAAUCUGCCUUGCAAUGCAGGGGACACUGGUUUAAUCCCUUGUCUGGGAAGAUCCCCUAUGCUGUGAAGCAGCUAAACCUGUGCACCUCAACUACUGAGUCCAUGUGCCAUAAAUACUGAAGCCUGCACGCCUAGAGCCUGUAAUCUGCAACGGGAGAAGCCAUGGCAAUGAGAAGCCCAUGAACCACAACUGGAGAAAGCCCAUGUGUAACAACAAAGACUCCACCACAGCCAGUAAAUGAAUAAAUAAAUCUUAAAAAAAAAAAAACAAAAAC